GCACAUCGGUCACAUGGGCUGGGAUCCUAACACAGGUUUUGAUUUAAACAAUCUGGACAUUAAACUGAAGAGCCUGUUCGUCGUGUGGGGCAUCUCUAAGGCUCAGCUGAAGGAUCCAGAGACGUCCAAGAUCAUCCACGACUUCAUCGAGAAGAAAGGAGGCGUGGAGGCCGUGAUACAGGAGCUGAGGAGACAUGGUCCGGCUCUGUCACACGUCGCCACGGUACCCAUCAA